AGGAAGGUGAAAGGGGAGGGCUACACAGCCUGGAAGGUGAGAGACAGCGAUGCUCUCUCCUACAGCCCGGAGCAAACCCCCUUUGUCCAGCAGAUUUAACUAGCAGAUUCCCCAGGCUGAACCCCUGCGCUGGGCUGAAUUUAGCAGCAGAAGAGAUAACCAGGAGAUAAGGGCUGAUACCCGGGAGGACAGCCGGAGAGCGGCCGAGGAAAAAGGGGAGAAGCCGGAGACAGCCUCGGGAAGGGCUGCGUACCCAGAUGUGCAAGGCUUGGGAUAUACAUCUCCCUCUCGAUUCCUUGCAAAAUCCCCGGCGAUUUUCUCUACCGAAGCAGCGUUUUGCUGAAGCUUCGUUGAAUUCCUACUGAA